GGGCCCGCACAAGCAGUGGAGCAUGUGGUUUAAUUCGAUGCAACGCGAAGAACCUUACCAGGGCUUGACAUACUACAAAUCUUUUAGAGAUAGAAGAGUGCUUUCGAGAAUGUAGAUACAGGUGGUGCAUGGCUGUCGUCAGCUCGUGUCGUGAGAUGUUGGUUAAGUCCCGCAACGAGCGCAACCCUCGUUUUUAGUUGCCAAUUUAUUGGUUUUUUAGAAAGACUGCCGGUGACAAACCGGAGGAAGGUGAGGAUGACGUCAAGUCAGCAUGCCCCUUAUGUCCUGGGCUACACACGUGCUACAAUGAUGGGGACAAAGAGUUGCCAAUCUGUGAAGAUGAGCUAA
rnacentral:rRNA from 1 species